GAUGAACGCUGGCGGCGUGCCUAAUACAUGCAAGUCGAGCGAACGGACGAGAAGCUUUCUUCUCUGAUGUUAGCGGCGGACGGGUGAGUAACACGUGGAUAACCUACCUAUAAGACUGGGAUAACUUCGGGAAACCGGAGCUAAUACCGGAUGAUAUUUUUAACCGCAUGGUUCAAAAGUGAAAGACGGUCUUUCUGUCACUUAUAGAUGGAUCCGCGCUGCAUUAGCUAGUUGUUAAGGUAACGGCUUACCAAGGCAACGAUGCAUAGCCGACCUGAGAGGGUGAUCGGCCACACUGGAACUGAGACACGGUCCAGACUCCUACGGGAGGCAGCAGUAGGGAAUCUUCCGCAAUGGGCGAGAGCCUGACGGAGCAACGCCGCGUGAGUGAUGAAGGUCUUCGGAUCGUAAAACUCUGUUAUUAGGGAAGAACAUAUGUGUAAGUAACUGUGCACAUCUUGACGGUACCUAAUCAGAAAGCCACGGCUAACUACGUG
rnacentral:rRNA from 1 species